GUCCAGAGCAGCAGGCGGCAUCCGGGGGGAGCGGGGCCGGCUGGGGGGCCCCAGGAGGGCUUCCUGGAACCCCAGCUCCAUGGCCGCCUGCACCCUGACACAGGCCAGAUAAGAGUCCCGGCUGCAUUAUCAGAGCCCGGCAGGGCACCGGCCUCCCUGCACCAGAAGGAAGACUCGGGGCGCAGCAGGUCCUCAAGGCGAUCUUCCCAGAGAGCGGGACCAGCGGCUGGUGGCCAGUGUGGAUGGAAUUUGCAGAGCCCUAGCUCGAGUCCGGGAGUCCCGGGCCAGAUGGGAGCAGACGCUUGCUGGCGGCAAUAGGGAAAGUGAGGCAGCUGCAAGGAGGGCGGCGGGACUGCACUCGAGUGUCCAGACCUGCUCGAUGGGACUGGCUGUGAACCCCCCACCACCCACCUUGGGGACAAGUCAGCCCUGAGUUGUGGUCUCAGAUCUGGGAGCAACUUGUCCAGAAGCCCCCCCAGUCCCAGGUGACCACCAUGUCGGUGAGGUUGCGGUUCCUGUCCCCUGGGGACACAGGGGCCGUGGGGGUCGUGGGCCGGAGCGCCUCCUUCGCAGGCUUCAGCAGUGCACAGAGCCGGAGGAUCGCGUAAGUUCCCCCCGUGUCCUGUUUCGGGGUGCAGGGGUGGGGCUUGUUAAUGGGCUGGGGAAGGGCAGGGUCAUCCUCCUCCUGCUGCCAGAGACCCGAAGGCCCACUCUCAGGCCGGCUUGCAGCCCGAGAGAGACAGAGAGAGAGAGAGAGAGAGAGAGAGAGAUUGAGAUUGAGAGAGAGACAGAGAGACAGAGUUUCUUAGUGUUGGGAUAAACCUAUCAUUUCCUUGAAACCUGAACAGUUAUCAUUUCAAAGUCUCCAGAAGUUGAUCUGCCUGAGCUUAGCAGGUCCACUUGGCAGAUAAAAAAUCUGAGGCUCUGGCUGGGCACAGUGACUCACGCCUAUAAUCCCAGCACUUUGGGAGGCCGAGGCAGGAGGAUCACUUGAGCCCAGGAACUCAAGACCAGCCUGGGCAACAUAGCACAACCCAAUCUCUACAAAAAUUUUUUUGAAAAACCAGAAAAUUGGGCUGGGCACGGUGGCUCAUGCCUGUAAUCCUAGCACUUUGGGAGUCCAAGGCGGGCGGAUCACUUGAGGUCAGAAGUUGGAGACCACCCUGGCCAACACGGUGAAGCCCUGUCUCUACUAAAAAUGCAAAAAUUAGUUGGAUGUGGUGGCACAUGCCUGUAAUCCCAGCUACUUGGAAAGCUGAGGUGGGAGGAUUAUUUGAACCCAGGAGGUGGAGGUUGCAGUGUACCGAGAUCACACCACUGCACUCCAGCCUGGGUGACAGAGCAAGAUGCCAUCUCAAAAAAACCCACAAAAACACC
rnacentral:lncRNA from 10 species